GGGCGCAUAGCUCAGUUGGCUAGAGCGCGGUCCUCACACGACCGAAGUCACAGGUUCGAGUCCUGUUGCGCCCA
rnacentral:tRNA from 1 species